GACGAACGCUGGCGGCGUGCUUAACACAUGCAAGUCGAACGAGUGGCGAACGGGUGAGUAACACGUGAGUAACCUGCCCCUUCUUCUGGAUAACUGCUUGAAAGGGUAGCUAAUACGGGAUAGUGGGGGAUGGGCUCGCGGCCUAUCAGCUUGUUGGUGGGGUGAUGGUCGAUCAAGGAGGUGACGGGUAGCCGGCCUGAGAGGGUGGAGGGCCAGAGUGGGAGUGAGAGACGGUGCAGACUCCUACGGGAGGCAGCAGUGGUGAAUAUUGCACAAGGGGCGCAAGCCUGAUGCAGCGACGGCGCGUGAGGGAUGGAGGCCUUCGGGUUGUAAACUUCUUUCGCCAGUGAAGCGGUAGCUGGAUAAGAAGCGCCGGCGAACUACGUGCCAGCAGCCGCGGUAAUUC
rnacentral:rRNA from 1 species